UUUCUUAGACCAAAUAUGAGAACGGUUGUUCAGAUGCUUGAAUCUCAACCAACAUGAAGCUCGUUGCUAGGAUCUAACUGUUGAGAGUUCUGAUUGGCUAAGUGUUGAUUGCUUGUGUGCUGCUCACCUGAAUGGUUUAAACACUAUUCUGGUAUAUGAUUGUUUUGAAAGCAAAUCACAGGCUCCACAAAAAGCCAUGACAAGGAAAGAGUGAUAAAUGGUCCAUUCAAUAGGUGAACCCUUCAUGAAAAGUCAUAUAAAGCAAGCUUGAAGAUUAUGUUGUUAAUAAUAGCAUCACCAAUUCAUGAAAAGCAUAUAAUCUACCAAGACUUUGCUAUAUCACAAUUUUAGUAGUUUUGUUUUGACAAAUCUAUGUAUACCCUUUUUGGGGGGUGUUUAGCUAGUUCAUAUUUUAUUUUUAAUUUUUAAUUAUGUAUUUUGUAUUAUUUUUAUAUAUUGGAUAACAGUAGAAAACUCUUUAGAGUCAGCAACUACUGACUGAUGCUUCUCUAUUUUCAUAAAAAAAUAAAUAAUAAUAACGAUGAUGAUGAUGAUGUUUUGUAAUGGCCAAAAAGAACAAUGUAAUGCUACAUAUAACAUCCAUGCACUAGAUCAAAAUCAUCUAAUAAAUUA